CGCUCCCCCAAAGAAUGGGUCAAAUGUGGACAACAAAUUAAACAAAAACUAACAGGAUUUUAGCUUUUAACUUUAGCUGAAAUCUCCUUUUCAAAGGGACCAAUGGGACCGAUUGGGCUUAAAGGGGAUCAAGGUCCAACGGGAGUCCCUGGGGAUCCUGCCAAGGGCGUAAGAACAAACUUUAUCCAUUUUAGUUCCACAAAUAUAAAUGUUGCUAUUCAGUUUCUCUGUUUUUAAAUAUUCCUUGUGUACAACAGAUAAUCGGUCCAAUUGGAAAAAAGGGGGCCAGGGGAGACAUCGGUCCGGUUGGGCUUACAGGACCUCAGGGAGAAAAAGGAGUGAAAGGAGACAAAGGAGAAAAGGGAAGUCCUGGUUUUGGGAUUCCAGGUCAGCAGGGGCCCAAAGGAGAAAGUGGAGAGAGGGUAGGUCAAUGAUCCCCAUAAAGACACAUUCUGAGGAAAAUUGUGUUUUUUAACUUGUUCUUGUAGCAAAUUAGGCUUGAAAUUGCCUUU
rnacentral:lncRNA from 1 species